rnacentral:rRNA from 1 species
UACGGAGGGUGCGAGCGUUAAUCGGAAUCACUGGGCGUAAAGCGCGCGUAGGCGGCUUUUCAAGUCAGAGGUGAAAUCCCACGGCCCAACCGUGGAACUGCCUUUGAAACUGUAGAGCUUGAGUGUCGGAGAGGGUGGCGGAAUUCCAGGUGUAGGAGUGAAAUCCGUAGAUAUCUGGAGGAACACCGGUGGCGAAGGCGGCCACAUGGACGACAACUGACGCUGAGGUGCGAAAGCGUGGGUAGCAAACAGG